AUUCAGGUUGUGAUCCACUACAACCCCCAGAUCCUUUUCAGCAGUACUGCUUCCCCAUUUUGUACUUGGGCAAAUUGAUUUUUUUCUUCCUAGGUGUAAUACUUUGCACUUGUCUUCACUGAAUUUAAUCUGUUGACUUGAAACCCAUUGUGCAAUUUAUUAAGAUCAUUUUGAACUUUAAUCCUGUCCUCCAAAGGGCUUUGCAUUCAUUAGCUCAGGGACAGGCAUCUCCAGCUGGCUUGGAGAUAACGCGAACAGGCCUGCUUAGGCAGGUCAGUAUCUUUUAUUCAAGAAUUGGUGCUACAAAGUUUUAUUUGGCUUCUGUCUCCAACUCAUGGAGAUAUUGUGAAAUAACAAUAGUGCUUUUGGCAUGCACUGUACAGAACCUUUUGUUAAAUAAUCUCAACAGGUGAAUCUCAUAACCCCCAAUUUACAGAUUGGGAAACUGAGGCACGGAUGUAAAUUACUUGCCCAAAGCCACCCAGCAAGUCAGGAAUAGAAUUCAGAUCUCAGUUCCCAGUUCCUUGCUCUUACCACUAUGCUAUGCUGGUGGUCUGUCUCCUGUUUUCUGGACUAGCAUAUUUGGCCCUCUAGAGUUACACUGACAAUUCAGAGGUUACCACAAGAAUCUUUCAUUGCUUUUGAUACAAAUAAGGUGGAAUAGAAGAGAAUUGUGCAUUGCAAAGGAAAGACAUCAGAGCUUGGGCAGCUGCACUAGAAGCUGUAGCAAGUGGCCUGCUCUGUCUAUGCUGCUUGAGAAUUUGGAUGCACUGAGCUUCCUGAGAUAAAAAGAGUUUAUUUUCUUCUUUGUGUCUUUGGUCUCUUUUCCUUUGUUUCCCCUUUUACUAUUUUUUUAGCUUGCUUCCCUGUCUUUCUGGUGGCUUUGUGGGGGGUGACAUAGGAAGAGAGGGGAAUCUGUAAAGAAAAGCAGAAUGGCUGUUUCUGAGAAACAAGUGGUCUUAGCAUUAAAGAGCCCAGAAGAGAGUUUUGAAGAUACAGCAUGUGAUUGACCAGCACAAUGGUAAAAGGAAAUUAGACAGGAAUAUUCCUGUCUUAUUUCAGAGCUCCAUCCAUCUAUCCCAGCAGGAUACUGAGUGACAAUAUAGAACCAGUGGAACACAGGAUAGCAUAUCAACAUCAGAACAACUCUCCCAGGCCGAAUUUGCUCCAGGGAUGGACUCUUACCUUGGCCUUGUCUAGGCUAGGAAAAAAGGGUCCCUUUUUCAAGUCAAAUUAACUCUGUUGAGCUCAUUUAAAGAUUGAAAACCCCAGUUCAGGCUAACCAUGACCUAUUAAAUUCAAGCCAAAGGGUAUUAAAAAAAACUGUCCACAUUCAUGUUGAAUGGGGUUUUCUGUGGAGUAAUAAGCUCCUGUGACCUAGCUCAGUUGAGGGUGAUGGGGAAAGCACCUUUUCCCCUAAUCUAUAGGAGGCCUGAGAAUGGAUGAGCCCUUUUGUGGCUGUGACACCACAUCUAGGUUAGGCAGGUUUUACCUAUGGCUUUGUAAACACCAACAGGGAGAUUAUCUUUACUUGAGAUUUUUAGCUUAAACUGAUCCCCUGGGUAAGUUACAAGUGCAUUGGCAUUGUCCAGACUAACCUUUGCAAAGGUGUUAACAACUAGAGUGGAUGUACCCCAAAAUGGUGAUUGAUUUAUAAAAUCAGCAGUUCAUAGAUAGGGUUCCCUUCUGGCCUUGUGAUUAUUUAUCUAAAGAAUGUGAACAACAUGGAAACACCCAUGCCUUUGAACUGACCUCUUGUUGUUCUCCUUUUGGUGGGCCUAGUUUUGAUGUCUGCAGUGCACGUAGUUUAUUAAGCAAAAACACUUUAUCCUUUCCUUCCUACAAUAAAGAAAAAAAUGAAUGUUAUUAACUUGAGUGUGCAUAUUAUUCCUAAUGCAAUCGCAGGGCUUGUCUACACAGGGAAAUUGACCAGGAUAGCAAUUACAAUCGAAGUGGAAUAAUUGUGGAAUAAAAUCACAUUUAUUCCAGAAUAUCAUGUCCACACAAGAGUUAUACUGGCACAGCUAUAAUAGAAAAUGACUGGCAUAUGUAUAGCAGAAUAAUUUCCCAGGGUAGAUCAGACCCAAGUUAUUCUAACUCGGUUAGUCAAAGUUGUUAUCCCUAGGUGGGCUGUAUCCCCAAAGAUUUACUGAGGAGGCAGGGAGAGAAGCAGCCUGAAACACUAGCUUUCCCAAAGCCAGCUGAGAGAAUGCAGAAGAGGGAGUUGUUAUGCAUUUAGUUACUGUCUCAAAUCCUGCAGGAAUCUGAUUAAACAGAUUAUGUAUCUACCCUGCAGGGGAGGGGGGGGGAAGGAGAGAUGAAAUCAUCUCCUCCAGCUGCAGGCAGACAGACAGGAAGCCUGCAGUACAGCCCCUCUGCAGUCACUACUCUAGCCAACAGGCUGUAUCUUUCUGCCUCCAUUGGGGUGGUCUGGGCCACUAGAACAGAUCCAGUGGUGCCCACAUAUCAGUGCAUUCGGAGCCAGCAUGGAGCCCCCUCCCUGGCAUAUGAUAAUUCUUAUUCUCGCGCCCAAGGAGCAUACACAGGACCUUCGCCAACUGCUGAAUUUCACCCAAGAUCACUUCUACACAGACUUUACAUGCAGAAAAUAGGCCCCACAUCCCAGCUUCAGAAAGUGAGUCAGCUCUGGCAGCUUCUGUCCUCUCCCUAGCAAGCCAGCCAGCUCUCCAGACUAACCAAAUCCUGCUUAGCCCAAAGUCUCAGGGAUGGGGGCGCAUGACCCAAAACUUUCACACAACUCAAGGUGCUACUCUAAGUCUGUCUUUAUUGUCACAAAAGCCUUUGGGAUGAUGAACUUCAGACCCCUCCUCACACAUACCAAGCAAAAAGCAUAAAAAUAAUAUUUACGAAAGUAAAACUAAUUGUACUUUUAUUUUCACAAAGAAAAUAAAGCAACUGCUCUGUGAUGUUUUUUUACAACACCCAGGCUUUACUGUCCUAUUAGGCGUUAGCAUUAAUGGGAAUGGCAUUUGCACUGAGAAGACUAUACCCACCAAUGCAAUUUCUGUCUAUUUAGAAACCAAAUCUAACAAAGACACAGUUUGCAGAGCUGAAUCAGACUACUAGUUCCUAAAAGUACCAUAGCCUGACACCUAGCCAUCUGACACCACACCUCUGCGGAAAGCAAACCAUCUCCUUGCUUUAAGUAACGCCUCUGACAAAUUAUGUAAUGCCCUGCAUAACCUUAAAAUAAACUGCAUACAGAGUUGAUUAGUCAAGUGUGUGUAGGGGGAUUUUUUCCUCUUCACAUUUGUGCUAAAACAGAAACCUAUCUGCAUGCACGUGUCGUAUGCAACAGACAUGAGGAAACCAGCUAACAUGUUUGUUGCCUGUUUUUUUAUUUAAAUAAUAGAAACCUGAAAAACAAACUUACGUUAAUAAUUUGCUCGUGCAGGAGUCUGACCAUUAUCUUUCUUCCUUCUAUGAUUUGCCAGUAAAGAUAUGUGAUCAUUCUGAAAAGAAAAGAAAAGAAAGUUCAACACGUAAGUAUUUAUAUUUGGGUGAUGCUUCUCUUCCAAAUAACUGCCAUAUAAGAAGAGCUCUUGUUCAUUUUACACAGUGAUUAUUUAAAAUGAUCACCUCAUGAAGAAGUUUCCCUCACUUUCUCCACACCACCUAGUUUCAUUUAUGAACACUUACAGGACGAUGACGGUGAGGAUAAAGAAGAAAUGCACACUUCCAAUUAAGUUAUGAUAAAUCCACACCACCCAUUUCGAGCCGGAAUAGCUGUCCAAUAUAUGUAUCCACCCAGAAACAGCAUCAAUUAUGGAGGUCAAGCCUUGGAACGGACCACACUGUUUUGAAGGCGUCCGCCUGGAAAAACAAGACAAAGUAUAUUUUUUAAAAAGUGCUAGUUCAUUUCCAUUGGGCCUCUGUACCCUCACCCUUGGAUUAGUUACACCCAUUGCCACUGAGUACUAGGUCUUCUUGGGAGACUGCAUCCCGUUCAACUCACUAAAGUGUAAAUGCCUGAGCAAAUCUUAACUGAUAGAGGGCUUGCUGCAUGUCUGUGUUUGAGUUUUUACACUGGUUGUUGGUAUCAU